UUUAUACUCUCUCCGUCCUAAAAUUAUUGUCUUAUAUUUGUCUAGAUACGGAUGUAUCUAAUACUAAAACGUGACUUGAUACAUCCGUAUUUAGACAAAUCUAAGACAAGAAUUUUGAGACGGAGGGAGUAUAUU
rnacentral:pre_miRNA from 1 species